rnacentral:rRNA from 1 species
AUUGAACGCUGGCGGCAGGCCUAACACAUGCAAGUCGAGCGGAUGAAGGGAGCUUGCUCCUGGAUUCAGCGGCGGACGGGUGAGUAAUGCCUAGGAAUCUGCCUGGUAGUGGGGGAUAACGUCCGGAAACGGGCGUUAAUACCGCAUACGUCCUGAGGGAGAAAGUGGGGGAUCUUCGGACCUCACGCUAUCAGAUGAGCCUAGGUCGGAUUAGCUAGUUGGUGGGGUAAAGGCCUACCAAGGCGACGAUCCGUAACUGGUCUGAGAGGAUGAUCAGUCACACUGGAACUGAGACACGGUCCAGACUCCUACGGGAGGCAGCAGUGGGGAAUAUUGGACAAUGGGCGGAAGCCUGAUCCAGCCAUGCCGCGUGUGUGAAGAAGGUCUUCGGAUUGUAAAGCACUUUAAGUUGGGAGGAAGGGCAGUAAGUUAAUACCUUGCUGUUCUGACGUUACCAACAGAAUAAGCACCGGCUAACUUCGUG